CAAGCACAAUGGCUAAGCAAAGAUCAUCUAAUCCAUUAUCACUCUAAUACCAAUUAUAACACCCAAACUUAAGUAGCCCAAAUUAAUUUCAGUCCUCAAACUACCCCCAAAAGGUUAUCCAAAUUAUUUUAGAAGUUACACUCCCUUGCCUAAACGAUGUGGGACAUUAUAAAAUAAAACAUGCAUGAACAUUGACAGCAAGACUUUGUUUGGCAAUAUCAGACUAAAUGGCUAAAUUUGUAAAAUUCAACCAUGUAGUCUGAUCCAUCCUUCCUCAACAAGCACGCAACACCAACUACGGCAAUAAUUUCACUUCAUUUCCCCUCUUUCCGAAAAAAUUAUAAGUUUUUCAUUUGUAAGAUGUGAACAGUCCUGGGUAUGAAAAUUGGCAAUUCCCACUUACUAUUUAAGUCAAUGAAAGAACACCAAAGCUGAACAGUGUCAAAAGAAGUAAAGAAAGUGUUAGGGGUUACCAGUUUACCAUAAAAUAAAACAAAGUUAAAAAUGACAAAAUCAUAUGACAACUUAAAAUUUAUGCAUCAACUGUUAUAGGUCAGAGCAAGAAAGAGAGUUGCAACGGAGAAAUAUAAACUAAUUUGCAGACAACAUUGAGUUUUA
rnacentral:misc_RNA from 1 species